ACUCCUACGGGAGGCAGCAGUGAGGAAUAUUGGACAAUGGAUGGAAAUCUGAUCCAGCCAUGCCGCGUGCAGGAAGAAGGUCCUAUGGAUUGUAAACUGCUUUAGUGCGGGAGCAAUAAGGUCCACGAGUGGACCGAUGAGAGUACCGCAAGAAUAAGCAUCGGCUAACUCCGUGCCAGCAGCCGCGGUAAUAC
rnacentral:rRNA from 1 species